rnacentral:rRNA from 1 species
GAGAGAAUGCCGGUAUGAGUAGCGAGAGGCAAGCGAGAAACUUGCCCGUCGAAAGCCUAAGGUUUCCUGGGGAAGGUUCAUCCGCCCAGGGUAAGUCGGGGCCUAAGCCGAGGACGGAAGUCGUAGGCGAUGGACAGCAGGUGGAGAUUCCUGCACCGCCUUGAGAAUGAAGCAAUGACACAGAAGGAUAGCAUGAGCCGGGUGAUGGUCAACUCGGUUUCCACGGCGAGGGUGCUUGGUAGUGAAGUACGUCAAGCAUAAGCCUGAGCCGAAGAGGGAGCGAAAUCAAGUAGCGAAGCAUGCGAUUUCACGCUGGCGAGAAAAGUUGCUAGUUUAUCGAAAAGGCGCCCGUACCGCAAUCCGACGCAGGUAGGCGAGAAGAGAAUUCUAAGACGAACGGGAGAAUCCUUGUUAAGGAACUCGGCAAAAUGACCCCGUAACUUCGGGAGAAGGGGUGCCGAUGGAAACAUCGGUCGCAGAGAAUAGGCUCAAGCAACUGUUUAGCAAAAACACAGGUAUCUGCGAAAGAGAGAUCUGACGUAUAGGUGCUGACACCUGCCCGGUGCUGGAAGGUUAAGGGGAAAUGUUAGGGCAACCGAAGCAUAGAACCGAAGCCCCAGUAAACGGCGGCCGUAACGAUAACGGUCCUAAGGUAGCGAAAUUCCUUGUCGGGUAAGUUCCGACCCGCACGAAUGGUGUAAUGAUUUGAGCGCUGUCUCAACAGGGAGCCCGGUGAAAUUGAAGUAUGGGUGAAGAUGCCCAUUACCCGCGACUGGACGGAAAGACCCCGUAGAGCUUGACUGUAGCUUGAUAUUGGAUUUCGGUAACGGAUGCACAGCAUAGGUGGGAGACUGGGAAACCACUACUUCGGUAGUGAUGGAGUCGCCGUUGGGAUACCACUCUUCUGUUAUUGGAAUUCUAACAUAGCGCCAUGAAACUGGUGGAUGGACAGUGUCAGGUGGGCAGUUUGACUGGGGCGGUCGCCUCCAAAAGAGUAACGGAGGCGCCCAAAGGUACCCUCAGAAUGGAUGGAAACCAUUCAAAGAGUGCAAAGGCAGAAGGGUGCUUGACUGUGAGAGUGACAACUCGAUCAGAGACGAAAGUCGGGCUUAGUGAUCCGGCGGUAUUGAGUGGAAAAGCCGUCGCUUAACGGAUAAAAGCUACCUCGCGGAUAACAGGCUGAUCUCCCCCAAGAGUCCACAUCGACGGGGAGGUUUGGCACCUCGAUGUCGGCUCGUCGCAUCCUGAGGCUGAAGCAGGUCCCAAGGGUUUGGCUGUUCGCCAAUUAAAGCGGCACGCGAGCUGGGUUCAGAACGUCGUGAGACAGUUCGGUCCCUAUCCAUCGUGGGCGUAGGAGUCAUGAAGGGAGCUGUUCCUAGUACGAGAGGACCGGAAUGGACGCACCACUGGUGCAACUGUUGUCGUGCCAACGGCAUAGCAGGGAAGCGAAGUGCGGAUGGGAUAAACGCUGAAGGCAUCUAAGCGUGAAGCCCACCUUAAGAAUAAGACUCCAAGCAGCAAUGCGAGAGACCCCUGGAAGACUACCAGGUGAUAGGUCAUCGGUGGAAGUGCAGUAAUGCAUGCAGCUUGAUGAUACUAAUCGGUCGAUAGCUUGACC